rnacentral:rRNA from 1 species
CAAUAGCGUAUAUUAAAGUUGUUGCAGUUAAAAAGCUCGUAGUUGGACUUGUGGUGGUUCCUGUGGUCCAAUUUUGGUACUUUCGGGGACUGCCAUCUUUGGGUGGAUCCUGUGUGGCAUUAGGUUGUCGUGCAGGGGAUGCCCAUCGUUUACUGUGAAAAAAUUAGAGUGUUCAAAGCAGGCUUAUGCCGUUGAAUAUAUUAGCAUGGAAUAAUGAGAUAGGACCUUGGUACUAUUUUGUUGGUUUGCGCACCGAGGUAAUGAUUAAUAGGGACAGUUGUGGGUAUUCGUAUUCCAUUGUCAGAGGUGAAAUUCUUGGAUUUCUGGAAGACGAACUAAUGCGAAAGCAUUUACCAAGGAUGUUUUCAUUAA